rnacentral:rRNA from 1 species
UACGGAGGGUGCAAGCGUUAUCCGGAUUUACUGGGUUUAAAGGGUGUGUAGGCGGACUUUUAAGUCCGUGGUGAAAUCUCCGGGCUCAACCCGGAAACUGCCAUGGAUACUAUUUGUCUUGAAUAUUGUUGAGGUGGGCGGAACGGGUCAUGUAGCGGUGAAAUGCAUAGAUAUGACCCGGAACACCGAUUGCGAAGGCAGCCCACUAAGCAAUGAUUGACGCUGAGGCACGAAAGCGUGGGGAUCAAACCAG